UCGAGCGAAUGACGGGAGCUUGCUCCUUGAUUCAGCGGCGGACGGGUGAGUAAUGCCUAGGAAUCUGCCUGGUAGUGGGGGACAACGUUUCGAAAGGAACGCUAAUACCGCAUACGUCCUACGGGAGAAAGCAGGGGACCUUCGGGCCUUGCGCUAUCAGAUGAGCCUAGGUCGGAUUAGCUAGUUGGUGGGGUAAUGGCUCACCAAGGCGACGAUCCGUAACUGGUCUGAGAGGAUGAUCAGUCACACUGGAACUGAGACACGGUCCAGACUCCUACGGGAGGCAGCAGUGGGGAAUAUUGGACAAUGGGCGAAAGCCUGAUCCAGCCAUGCCGCGUGUGUGAAGAAGGUCUUCGGAUUGUAAAGCACUUUAAGUUGGGAGGAAGGGCAGUAAGUUAAUACCUUGCUGUUUUGACGUUACCGACAGAAUAAGCACCGGCUAACUCUGUG
rnacentral:rRNA from 1 species